rnacentral:rRNA from 1 species
GCAGAUUGUGCUUUUGGCGAGGCGCCUUCCGAGUUCCCUGGAACGGGACGCCACAGAGGGUGAGAGCCCCGUCUGGUCGGCCGCCGAGCCUCUGUAAAGCACCUUCGACGAGUCGAGUAGUUUGGGAAUGCUGCUCAAAAUGGGAGGUAUAUGUCUUCUAAAGCUAAAUACUGGCCAGAGACCGAUAGCGCACAAGUAGAGUGAUCGAAAGAUGAAAAGCACCUUGAAAAGGGGGUUAAACAGUACGUGAAAUUGUUGAAAGGGAAGCGCUCGCGACCAGACUUGGGCCCGGCGGAUCACCCAGCGUUCUCGCUGGGGCACUCCGCCUCGUCCCAGGCCAGCAUCGGUUCGCGCCGGGGGAUAAAGGCGGCGGGAACGUGGCUCCCCCGGGAGUGUUAUAGCCCGCCGUGCAAUGCCCUGGGGCGGACCGAGGAUUCGCGCACCACGCAUGGAUGCUGGCGUAAUGGUCACUAGCGACCCGUCUUGAAACACGGACCAAGGAGUCGUCUUCGUAUGCGAGUGUUCGGGUGUCAAACCCCUACGCGUAAUGAAAGUGAACGCAGGUGAGAGCUUCGGCGCAUCAUCGACCGAUCCUGAUGUUCUCGGAUGGAUUUGAGUAGGAGCAUACGGGGCCGGACCCGAAAGAAGGUGAACUAUGCCUGUGUAGGGUGAAGCCAGAGGAAACUCUGGUGGAGGCUCGCAGCGGUUCUGACGUGCAAAUCGAUCGUCA